UGCAGCCCUCGCCAGGCCUGGUCCACAGUACAACCCCCCCACUCCCGAAUACAGCGCCCCUGCUCACCCUAGACCUUCCUACUCUGCUGCUCCCGCUUAUCCUGACACUCCUCCCCAAUACAACUCCCAGUACGCCGUCAGAGACGACUACUCCGGCAACGACUACGGCCAUGAAGAAUCCCGUGACGGCUACAGCACCCAGGGUACCUACUCCGUGCUGCUUCCCGACGGUCGUGUGCAGAGGGUAACUUACUACGUCGACGGGGACUCCGGCUACGUGGCUGAGGUGACAUACGAGGGUGAGGCCCAGUACCCAUCCUACCAGCCUGCCCCAGCACCCUCUUACAGGCCCGCUCCUGCGCCCUCCUACACGCCAGCACCCAGCUAUGCCUAAGUUGAAUUCAAGAUCUACAAUGCAUUGCUUAUUGACCAUUGUAUUUACAAACCAUCGAGAAUGUAGUGAAGAUCAGUAUUUAUUGAACAACCAUUAAUAAACGUUAUACACUAUUAA
rnacentral:lncRNA from 1 species